GANGGCAGGUUACUAAGCAACAACUGACGCUGAUGGACGAAAGCGUGGGGAGNGAACAGGAUUAGAUACCNUGGUAGNNNACGNNNUAAACGAUGCUAACUCGUUUUUGGAAUGUAAGUUUCAGAGACUAAGCGAAAGUGAUAAGUUAGCCACCUGGGGAGUACGAACGCAAGUUUGAAACUCAAAGGAAUUGACGGGGGCCCGCACAAGCGGUGGAUUAUGUGGUUUAAUUCGAUGAUACGCGAGGAACCUUACCAAGGCUUAAAUGGGAAAUGACAGGUUUAGAAAUAGACUUUUCUUCGGACAUUUUUCAAGGUGCUGCAUGGUUGUCGUCAGCUCGUGCCGUGAGGUGUUAGGUUAAGUCCUGCAACGAGCGCAACCCCUGUCACUAGUUGCCAUCAUUAAGUUGGGGACUCUAGUGAGACUGCCUACGCAAGUAGAGAGGAAGGUGGGGAUGACGUCAAAUCAUCACGGCCCUUACGCCUUGGGCCACACACGUAAUACAAUGGCCGGUACAGAGGGCAGCUACACUGCGAAGUGAUGCAAAUCUCGAAAGCCGGUCUCAGUUCGGAUUGGAGUCUGCAACUCGACUCUAUGAAGCUGGAAUCGCUAGUAAUCACGCAUCAGCCAUGGCGCGGUGAAUACGUUCCCGGGCCUUGUACACACCGCCCGUCAAGCCAUGGAAGUCUGGGGUACCUGAAGUCGGUGACCGUAACAGGAGCUGCCUAGGGUAAAACAGGUAACUAGGGCU
rnacentral:rRNA from 1 species